UUAAAUCAUCAUAUGUUAAAAUAUCAGGCCAAAAAUCAAGCUAUGACUGCGCUAUCUACGUUAUGAAGUGGAUGGAGUUAAUUGAGCUGGAAAACAUUAAAAAGGGGAAGUAUGAAUGGGAUAAUUGGCCACAGGAGGAGGUGGACCACUAUAGAGUGGAGUAUGCU